GAUGAACGCUGGCGGCGUGCCUAAUACAUGCAAGUCGAGCGAACAGACGAGGCGCUUGCUCCUCUGACGUUAGCGGCGGACGGGUGAGUAACACGUGGAUAACCUACCUAUAAGACUGGGAUAACUUCGGGAAACCGGAGCUAAUACCGGAUAACAUGUUGAAACGCAUGGUUCAUCAGUGAAAGACGGUCUUGCUGUCACUUAUAGAUGGUUCCGCGCCGCAUUAGCUAGUUGGUACGGUAACGGCUUACCAAGGCAACGAUGCGUAGCCGACCUGAGAGGGUGAUCGGCCACACUGGAACUGAGACACGGUCCAGACUCCUACGGGAGGCAGCAGUAGGGAAUCUUCCGCAAUGGGCGAAAGCCUGACGGAGCAACGCCGCGUGAGUGAAGAAGGUCUUCGGAUCGUAAAACUCUGUUAUUAGGGAAGAACAGAUGUGUAAGUAACUAUGCACGUCUUGACGGUACCUAAUCAGAAAGCCACGGCUAACUACGUG
rnacentral:rRNA from 1 species